rnacentral:tRNA from 1 species
AGGUAAUUAGUUUAAACAAAACAUUUGAUUUCGGCUCAAACAGCUUGUGUCCUAGCACCACAAUUAGCCUA